UUGGCUCCGAGCGACACGUCGACGCCCGAAAUUACGCCCGUUUCUCCGUUGACCAUCACAAAUCCAAAGCCCAAAUUCCAUCCCGCCGGCGACGAUCCUGUCCUGGCCACAUUCGCAGCUUCAAAUCCACACCCAUCCUCAUCCCAUGGCUAUCCGAGCACCGUCGGACAGCGGUGCGCUGCUGCUUUGUCAGGCGGCCGUCGCUCUCUUCCCUCCGCCCUCGCAAAGCCGGCGGCCGCCCAGCGACAGCCUGACGACGUCCCGGCCCCUUCAUAUGCGAUGGUAGAACCUCCUCAAGUGGCGACCUGACGCUAUCACCAGCAGGCCAAGGCAAGGACCCGACUAGAUCUGCGCACGGGAGACCAGGUCGUGCUGUCCCGGCUUUCAAGCGGUUCUAGUAAGGCUAAUCUAUCUCAUUUUGUUUAUUUCAUCCGAUUUCUGAUGUGCAGUAGGGAAGGGAAUGAAGCUGAAGACUAAGGUCAUAUUAGGGGUCUGAUUUCAUCGUCCCUUUUGAUUGGGAGCCGAUUUCCAUUGGUCUGAUUACCCUCAAGCAAUUGGCUGUUCUUGCUUUGGUAUAGCCAGAUCAUGAGUUUCGAUUUUACUCCUGAUUGCAUAGCUUCGAUUUUACUCUGAUAUCUAGUUUUUUUAAGAAACAUAACAUGCUACUAUUUCGAGAACUGUUAAAUAAGAUAUGCAUGAACAAAGUGUCCAAUAGAUUUUUGCUGGCUGCAGAUGUUGUAUCUAAUCCCGAAUAGAUGCAAAUGUCUGCUGGUUACAGUUCUACGGAUCAUUUUACAAAUAGGAUGUCGUGGUGACAUGAUAUCCUUUCAUUUGAUUUUUCAAUGGUAUUGUAUUUACGAUCACUCAUAUAGCAAAUGUGUGGCACGGUGUUUCCUGAUGAGUGUAGAUAUUAACUCCCCCUGUUGUGUAUGUGUAUCGAAGACACUAGGAUAUGGUAAUCGGAUUUCCACUGAUUUCUUGGUUAGGAAAUAAAUAUGGCAUACAUGGUUCAUGGUUUCAGUACAUGGUUCAGAUAUGCAGUAUGGUUUUCCAGUAAAUGAAUUUGUUACUGACUAUAUCAAAUUACCUAACAAUAGACCUGAGUCUGAAUGGAACCAGUGUAAAAGGCAUGGCUCGUACAUAGUCAUUCCAGUCUAUCUAUUCAUGGACCUGUCUACUCAUUGGAAAAGGAUUCGGUUCCAUUCUCUUAUUGGCUGCAAAGCUUGUUCAUUCUAAUGUGUUCAUUGUCAAGUGCAAAGCUAGUUCAUUCCUUAUAAUUUUAUCUCAUUACACUUCAGGGAAAGGUACAUUUUAGGUCAGCUGUCUUUGCAUGCUUUUACAAGCUGUUGUAGCCACAGCUUGCAUAGCGUCCAUGCUUUCAUAUAUUUUUGUUUGGUUCCUUACAUGCAGGUUUACUUCUUUAUGCAUCAGGCUGCACUGAUUUUGGGUACAUGCAGGUUUACUACUUUAUGCAUCAGGCUGCACAGAUUUUGGGUACCAAAUAUCUUUUUGAAUGCUUCAUCACUGUUAUAGUAAAUUGACUGUCUGCAUAGUACACAAUUCUUGUAAUUUACCAGACCUUCGUUGAUCCUGCACAGUAGUAAAUUAACCAUAUAAUUUACUACUUUUUUUAGUGUUGAUUUCACUAGGUUUUACAGUUGUGAUUGAUCUGGAUUUAUCUGGAUUUGGGUUCUUAGUAGAAUGAAGCUAAAAUUUUAAUUAGGUGGGUUCAUGUGUGGGUUCACGUGUUAGAAUUUUCUUUCUCGUAAAUCAUAGUUAGAAAUUAAGGACAAUCAUUGUUGUGUUACAGUAAUUUUGACAAACAAAUUAUGUGGUGCAUUUGUGCCGUUGAGCUUAUUUCCUUCUGUUAUACUUUUGAGUUCAUAAUUAGUAUAGUCGCGGUACUAAAAACCAAUACUCACAUCAUUAUGGCCGCCAACUUAUUUUGGCCUUUCUUUCGCUGAACACUGUUUACAAUACCUUAAUCUAUCCCAUUCUGUUUAUUUCAUCCGAUUUGUUUGCAUAGUAGGAAGCUGAAGACAGAUUAGUGGCGAACACUGGAAUAGUUCUUGGGUGCUGAUUUCAUUUUUAUGACCUGAAUAAUUAGUAUAUUAUUUAAGAUUAACCUUAUUUUUUGUGAUAUUAGGCAAUCAUACCUGGGAAAAUACCAAGCACCUAUCAUACUAUCAGUGCACCUACAUUUGGGUGCAGCAAAACAGGCAUGACCCAUUAGUUUGAUCUUGAUCAGUUUGAUCACUGGUAAGGCACCUACUACGACGCCCUGGCUAAGCCUGCUGUCGACAAGAUGACUUCCGUGCCAAUCCUUCUUCUGGUCUGAUUCUGUUGGGGGCUAAGUGAGCAAAGCAACUCACGGUGUUUGGCACAACUUUCAGUUCUGUGAUAUGCAUGUAUCCAGAUUGUAUUUGUCGGAACAACGCCAGAUAGAUGUGAAUGAACAGCAAUUCAUAUUGCUUCAUGUUCAGUGUCCUCUUCUUAUGAUGGCACUGUAGUUUCACAA